UACGAAGGGUGCAAGCGUUACUCGGAAUUACUGGGCGUAAAGGGCGUGUAGGUGGUGCUGUAAGUUCGGCGUGAAAUUUUUCGGCUUAACCGGGAAAGGUCGUCGGAUACUGCAGGACUAGAGGACGGUAGAGGCGUGUGGAAUUCCGGGUGUAGUGGUGAAAUGCGUAGAGAUCCGGAGGAACACCAGUGGCGAAGGCGACACGCUGGGCCGUACCUGACACUGAGGCGCGAUAGCAUGGGGAGCAAACAGG
rnacentral:rRNA from 1 species